GCCUGCUUCAGCAGAGCAUAUACUAAAAUUGGAAUGAUGCUGAGAAGAUUAGCAUGGCUCUUGCACAAGGAUGACACAAAUUUGUGAAGUGUUCCAUAUUUUU